GCGAGCUCGGCCAUGGCGCGGCUGGGCAAGCUCUAGCCGGGGCGGCCGCGGGCGUGAGCAAGUACGAACAGUUCCCUCCGCGAAAUUUCCCAUCCAGCCAUGGUGUAUGCGCGUGCAUUGUGUUCAGGUUUUAUGGAUUGGGAAGUGUCUGAAGGUUUAGUUAUUGAAUCCAUUAACAGUUUUGCUUCAUAGCUCUGCAGCCUCUUCAUUGGAAUGCAUGAUACAUACUCCAUGUUAGCUGGUUGGUCCAUAUUAGCUGGUUGGUUCAUGACAAGGAAGUGCAUUGAUUUCUUUGUUCUCUGCGGUGAGAGUUGGUGUGCUGACCACGGCCAUCUCGCGCCUACCUAUUCCGGUGUGCUUGCCUCCAGCAACUCGCCACUAUGGCCUGGCGCAAAUCUAGCACCCGCAGAAAUCGAGUCUGCCAUCAAGGAUUGACAAGGCGUGGCGACUGAGCAGGUAUUGACUGAGCAUGGCGACUGAAGAUGGAUGAACUCGACUGAGAUGAAGAUGACCUUAGCCUGGAGCUAUGGCGCACGAUUACUGGGAAGGAUUCAUGCGUGAUUACUGGGAAGGAUUACAUACCAUGCGUCAUGGGUGUUUCCUGAUUCAUACCAUGCGUCAUGGGUGUUUCCUGAUUCAUGGGUCAUUCUUGGUUUAUUUCCAUGCGAGAUUUCCUAAUUCAUCGGUCGUUCUUGAUUUAUUUCCUGUUUAGAUUCCAUUCAUGCGUGAUUUAUAUUUCCUGGCGAGAUUUCCUGGCGAGAUUUUCCUGCCGAGAUUACAUACCUGACGAGAUUGCAUACCUAGCGUGAUUUAUAUUUCCUGGCGAGAUUACAUUCGGCCCAUGUUAACGCUUGGCCCAGGCGGGUGGGCAACGAAGGACGACGACCAAUUACGACCAAACUUUCUCUAAGUAUUUUAGAGUACUCUGAAUUUUAAAAACAUGCAUGUGCCUUUUAAAAACAUGAGAUAUCAGACAUGGGAAAAGUUAUUGAGCUCUGAUGUGAGAGUCUAUAAAAUUUGCACCACCAAAAUAUUUGUGCAUCUGUGCAAAAUUGUUGAAAAGUGAU